AGAGACGUUUGCAGGUGGCAGCCGGGAGGGUGGAGACGUCCCACCCCCAUGUCUCACCCACAGCGUGGUGGGGCUGAGGGUGCCCUGGGGUGGACCAAGGAUGGACCGGCGUGGACGCCCGGAGCCCCGAAUGCAGACACCCGAGCUCCUGGACACCAGAGCCCAUCUCCAGAGUGGACGAGUCCCCUCUAUGGGUGACUGGGCCCCACUGUCCUGAGCAAGUUCAGCAGGAAAAUGUAGGACAAUUGUGGAUGUUGCUGCUGGCGACGAUGGGGACGAAGGUGAUGUUGACGAGGAGGAGGAGGACUUCAUUUCUGCCAUCUUGGAUUCCACUGGUGGGAAGAUGAGUCCCUGAGUCCAUCACUUCAUGCCCAUUCAGACAUUAUUAAAACUGGCUUUGCUUCUCUUGGGCUUCCCUGGUGGCUCAGCAGGUUAAGAAUCCACCUGCAACGCGGGAGACCUGGGUUCUCUCCCUGGGUCGGGAAGAUCCCCUGGAGAAGGGAACGGCUUCUCACUCCAGUAUUCUGGCCUGGAGAAUUCCAUGGACUGUGUAGUCCAUGGGGUCACAAAGAGUCAGACACGACUGAGCGGCUUCACUCGCUUCCCCUGAGAAAAUUCAGAUACACUAGGCUGUGGCCUUGACACUCAUCUAGUUUGUUUAAAUUGAAAAAUGAGUCCAUAUCAUCUGAUGUCAAACCAGACAAAGAUAGUACAAAAAAUAAGAAAGAAUACUAAAGACCAAUGUGUCUCGUGAACUUGGGUGUAAGUCUCCCACAAACACCA